GACGAACGCUGGCGGCGUGCCUAAUACAUGCAAGUCGAACGCACAGUUUAUACCGUAGCUUGCUACACCAUAGACUGUGAGUUGCGAACGGGUGAGUAACGCGUAGGUAACCUGCCUGGUAGCGGGGGAUAACUAUUGGAAACGAUAGCUAAUACCGCAUAAUAUUAAUUAUUGCAUGAUAAUUAAUUGAAAGGUGCAAUUGCACCACUACCAGAUGGACCUGCGUUGUAUUAGCUAGUAGGUGAGGUAACGGCUCACCUAGGCGACGAUACAUAGCCGACCUGAGAGGGGGAUCGGCCACACUGGGACUGAGACACGGCCCAGACUCCUACGGGAGGCAGCAGUAGGGAAUCUUCGGCAAUGGACGAAAGUCUGACCGAGCAACGCCGCGUGAGUGAAGAAGGUUGUCGGAUCGUAAAGCUCUGUUGUAAGAGAAGAACGGGUGUGAGAGUGGAAAGUUCACACUGUGACGGUAUCUUACCAGAAAGGGACGGCUAACUACGUG
rnacentral:rRNA from 1 species